rnacentral:rRNA from 1 species
GACGAACGCUGGCGGCGUGCUUAACACAUGCAAGUCGAACGCUGACGCUUGGUGCUUGCACUGGGUGGAUGAGUGGCGUACGGGUGAGUAAUACGUGAGUAACCUGGCCUUGACUCUGGGAUAAGCCUGGGAAACUGGAUCUAAUACUGGAUACGACAUGUCACCGCAUGGUGGUGUGUGGAAAGGGUUUUACUGGUUUUGGAUGGGCUCACGGCCUAUCAGCUUGUUGGUGGGGUAAUGGCCCACCAAGGCGACGACGGGUAGCCGGCCUGAGAGGGUGACCGGCCACACUGGGACUGAGACACGGCGCAGACGCGUACGGGAGGCAGCGGUGGGGAAUAUGGCACAAUGGGGGGAAGCCUGAUGCAGCGACGCCGGGUGAGGGAUGACGGCCUUCGGGUUGUAAACCUCUUUCAGCAAGGAAGAAGCGAUAGUGACGGUACGUGCAGAAGAAGCGCCGGCUAACUACGUG